GUUGGCGAAAACUAUGACGAAAAAUGUUCGUUAACGAACCUUUUUUCCAUGACUAGGACGAGACUAAGACGAGACGAAAACAAUCUUAAAAAAAAUAAAAACUAUGACUAAAUCUAUUCUAACUUUCGUUAACGAGACGAGACGAACAUGUUGGUGGUUGACGAAGUCACAAUACCGUUUCCCCCUAAAUUCGCAUGCAGCUGACAGACAACAGACCGGCAGAUAUUAACGCGUCAUGGUGACGUCAUCCACGAACCCAGAACGCCCACAGCGGUGCCGCGGUGGUUCUUGUGCACCGACGACGAACUGAUCUGUCAUUGCUUAGGGUCUCAUGUACCAAAUGUAAAGGCAUGGUGAGGUAUGUACAAACAUGCCGACAACAGAUUGAAAAAUGAAUGGUCCAAAAAAGGCGAGUAAAUAAAAACGUGUCUUAGUCUUGCUAGCUGCUUUACUGCUAUAAUUAGCGAGCUAGCGGUAGCUUCUUGCCUGCUGGAGGCUUCUUACGUUCCUCACGUCAAAACUUAGUGCUCCCGUGCCAUGUUACGUUGACUUUGCAUAUUUUGCCAUAGACACUUUUUUGGUUUAUUUAUUGUGAAAUGCUCGCACACCUUGGACAGCUAAAGCCUGUGGUUCUGCGUUUUCAGAGAGAAACAAGGACACACAGACGCAAGAGCCUCUUGCGUGCCCCUUGCAUGCUUUUUUAUCCCUUCUUGCGGGUUCCAAUUUUUCUAGACUAGCGUCAAAAGCUACGCAAGCCUCGCGCAAGGCUGUGAUUGGUCUGCUAACUACAUCCUUUCCGGAGUCUCACAUUUGCGGUUUCAUAAUACCGCUAUUUUUAAAAGGAAGAUUUUUGACGAGAGAAUGAAUCAGAUUGAAAAGUUUUUGUCAGAAGAAAUACGGAAAUAUGACCAUCUACAACCCGUCAUUGGCGGACUAUAAGGACGCACGGAUGGCCUCUGAUUCAUGGAGGGAGAUCUCCGCAAACGUCGGAGUAAAUAAACAAACCAACGACUUCCACACACAAAGACAGUCUUGGACCAAAAACGUUACUCCACCUAGUGUUCUGGCGGUGAAUUGCUUCGUAACACGCGACAAAACGGCGCGAAAAAAAGCAGACGCAGCGCCAGCCUUUCUCUUCUCUGCCUGCGUCAUGUGACUCACAACAACUGCUGGCUGCUCUUUCCUCUACGUCGGCUCAGCUCAGCACAACGGAUAAUGAAAUUCGUUGCCAACACAUUUCAAAAUAAUCAUUUUUUUAUCGAUUUCAUCGAUUUGUUGUUGCAGCCCUACUCUAGAGAGGAUCCUUCAGAACCUAGAGAGGGAAUCCACGUCUGCUACUGUGGCGCCCGGAUGAGCUCAGCUGACGAGCAACCCGUAAUCAGCAUUAAUGAGGUCAGAGGAGGCGCUCAGCGGUGAUGGGAUAAGGACGUGUUCACAGCAAAACAGAACUGCUGUAAUCCGUGCUCUCUCUGAGAGAUCACGUGAGACCCGAAGAUCCAGCGAGGAAGCUUCUGUCCCUCUCCUUUGCUGAUGGACCUCCGCCAGGAAGCAGCCCGCUUAGUUUACGACAAAAUAAAUCUUCCCCUUCACGAAAUGACUCUGUUUACUGAACAAAUGUGUCGCCGGGCAGACGAGACGAGAUGUGGUGACUCUGGAGAGGUCUAACAAAUAAUCAUCUCUGAACUCCUCUGAUGUGCCUUUAUUAAACGUGCUUCAGUGCACGAGUUAAAUGCUUCAAAGCGUCAUUUCAUUGAACGCGUUCACGGGUAAUUUGUUAAAUGUAUUUCUGGUGGUCAGUCAGGCUUCAAGGCAGGCCAUUCCACAGAGACUGCUCUCCUUGCUGUCUCAGAGCAACUCCACACUGCUAGAGACGCCUCUGUUCUCAUCCUUCUGGACCUCUCUGCUGCAUUUGACACAGUCAACCACCAGAUCCUUAUUUCCUCCCUUCAGGAACCUGGAGAGGAUCUGUGUUGGAACCUUUCAAUUCAAUUCAAUUCAUUUUAUUUUGUAUAGACCAAAAUCGCAAAUUACAAAUUUGCCUCAGAGGGCUUUACAGUCUGUACACAUAUGACAUCCUCUGUCCCGAAACCCACCAUCGGCACAGGAAAACCUCCCCAAAAAAUGAAAAAACCCUUCCAAGAGGGAAAAAAGGGAAGAAACCUUAGGGAGAACGUCAGAGGAGGGAUCCCACUCCCGGGAUGGACCGACUACAAUGGAUGCCAUGUGUACAGAAUGAACAAUAUAUAAUACAUUCAAUUCCUAUGACAAAAAUGAUUCAAGUAAUUGUGAGUAGUAAGCCAGGCGCACAGCAGGACCACUGCAGGGGCAACCACCAUCAGAUAGAACCACCAUCUACAGAAGCCUGUGGGGAGGGAGAGCACAGAGACUUAAGGAGAGGGUAAUGUUGGUUUAUGAGUACAGUAAUAUGAUUAAUAUCUAAAAUAAUAAUGAUGAUGAUGAUGAUGAUGAUGGCAGAACCUUGUCCUCUUACCACUCAGGGUUCCGCCCUGGGUCCCCUGCUCUUCUCGCUCUACGCCAACUCUCUCGGCGCUGUCAUUCGCUUGCAUGGCUUCUCCUACCACAGUUAUGCCGAUGUCAC
ensembl:lncRNA